rnacentral:rRNA from 1 species
UAGGGAAUAUUAGAAAUGGACGAAAGUCUGAUCUAGCGACACCGCGUGUGCGAAGAAGGCCUUCGGGUUGUAAAGCACUUUUUGGAAGGAAUAGGAAGGAAGGUACUUCCAGAAUAAGUCUCGGCUAACUUCGUGCCAGCAGCCGCGGUAACACGUAGGAGGCGAACGUUACCCGGAUUUACUGGGCGUAAAGCGCGUGUAGGUGGUUUUGUAAGUAGGGCGUGAAAGCUCCUGGCUCAACUAGGAAAGGCCGUUCUAAACUGCAGAGCUAGAGGAUGGUAGAGGGAGGUGGAAUUCCAGGUGUAGCGGUGGAAUGCGCAGAUAUCUGGAGGAACACCAGUGGCGAAGGCGGCCUCCUGGACCAUUCCUGACACUCAGACGCGAAAGCUAGGGUAGCAAACGG